AGAUGGCGUCCUUUUCUGUGGAGCGUAUGAGAAGGUUUUAUCAAGCUAGCAGUGUAACUAUGGUGCAGCGUGAAUUUCAAGUGAGAUUUGUCUGCAGAGAAGGUCCAAGAAUGUCAGCAGUUGAGAGAGCACUGCAAGUAGAAACACCGACAUGACGUGAAACGGUCAGACGUGCCUGGGGAUUGAAGAACUUCAUCAAGUCCUUUUCCACACGAAUCAGGCUGUGCAGCUCAUUUCCCCAACGGUCAUAGAGGUAGCGCUCAUAUGAACUUGGACCACGACCGUUUGGCUGACUCCAGUGAGCGGGGGGAGUCCACUCCGCUGGCGGAGUGCGUGCCCGGACUCGAGGAGCAUGUUUCCAACGAAGAUACAUUACCACCACAGAAUUCACGAAUCUCGAAUAGAUUGGAAAUGUGACAAAUGGCUAAUAUGAAACAUUAGAAAAUUAUAUAUUAAAUACUUAUUGAUAAAAUAUUAGUUAAAAAUUCAAAGGAUAUCAGAUAAAAUAUUCAACAUGAACAAAAACAGAUUAGAGACUACAUUAACCUUUACUGGCCCUGCAUCACAGCUUGUGCAACAUUCAGCCAGCUGCAUGUCACAAUAGCAUGCCUCUAAUUCAUUAAUCGCAGAAUAAAAUUCUGUGUAGCCAAUAAAUGUCGAUGUAAGCAGCUAUCAGAGACAUAAUAGUAAUUGUAAACAGCAAAGACUUGAGUCUAUUCAGAUGAUUAGCCAUGUGAAUUGGAAUUAAUGAGUUUCCAGUGCCUUAGAGACUGCGUCUCCCUCCAUCAUCCUAGGGUUCCUGGUUGAUGCCAAGUCUUGAAAAUACUGGAAGGUAACUAUGUUUCCACACUGGCACCUAUUGAGUAGGUACCAAAAUACACAGACGUAUGAAGCUGUUUAUUCGUUACUCUCCCAGUGCUGAUGUUCUGAAUGCCUGGAGCUGUACCCCCACUCCCACAUACACGGUUACAAUAUGGUACGUACAGACUGCAUGUGUGCGGUACAUCUGGCUGUACGGAUAAACCGCUAAACCCCACAGAUCAGUUACACCAGGCAGACCCAUAAUAUGACGUUUUAACACUCUACUGUAUGAUAAACCACACAGACAACAUUAAUUUUAGCUCCGACGUUCUGCAAGAAUGGAGUUCCUUUAGAAUUCUAUAUUAUUGUAUUCACUAGUAAGUUGGUAAAAUGAUUAGCACUUAUUAAUAGCAUUUCAGGAUCCUAUCUGUUACAUACGUCUCUUAACUGGGCCCAUAAUUCAGUACAUCUACAGGACAAAAACAAAUUUUGGUAUUCUCAAUUUUAAUUUUAUGGUAUAAUUUAAUGCAUAUAUUACCUUGCUGAAUCCUGACAUUUGUUGCGCUGUAACAGGCAUGGAGAACACUGGGGGAGGAAAGAAUUCACUAUGUAUUAAUCAUCUCAAGGACAAGCGCACAUUGAUUAAUGAAUGGCAUUGUGUUACGAAUAAGGCACUCACCGCCUAGUGAUCCCACACAUGUAUAUAGUCUCUUGAUUGAUUCAAUCAGUGAAAUGAAUCCUGUGAAACUGGAAGGAAUAAUAAUAACAACAAUAAGCAAAAGUAUUCUCAGUAAUUAUAGGAGCAACUGAGACUGUUUCCAAGUCACUCAAAACAUAUUUGGCCACAUCCCGGGUGAACAUGACAUAGGGACUUCAGAAAACCGCCAUUCUAGGAUCAUCAUACAUCAUUCGAAAGACGCCGAUGUAAAAUAUAUAGUCAUGCCUCACAAUAAAACUAUAUAAUACAUGUAACACUUAUUAAAAACAAAAUGUACCUCAGGGGCAAGGUUCGUCUCAGGUACUCAGAAGUAAAUACGCUAUAAAAUGUUGGAUAUAAUAAUACUGUGAAUGAACAUAAUCAGCAUUCUGCAAAACUCUUUGACUGUCCAUGGUAAAGAAAGGGAGAACUGUCAUGGAUAAUCCACAAUUCCAUUUGUAUCUACUAAUUAUGUAACAAUUUGCCAUACAAAUACACCAAAAAAUACA